rnacentral:rRNA from 1 species
UACAGAGGGGGCAAGCGUUGUUCGGAAUUACUGGGCGUAAAGGGCGCGUAGGCGGCCUGCUAAGUCGAACGUGAAAUCCCCGAGCUCAACUCGGGAACUGCGUCCGAUACUGGUUGGCUUGAAUCCGGAAGAGGGAUGCGGAAUUCCAGGUGUAGCGGUGAAAUGCGUAGAUAUCUGGAGGAACACCGGUGGCGAAGGCGGCAUCCUGGACCGGCAUUGACGCUGAGGCGCGAAAAGCCGGGAGGGACAAGAGG